GGUCUCGUAGCUCAGCUGGUAGAGUGUGCGCUGUGCGAAAGCUUGGGCGACGUCCAUGCGUGGGUUCGAAUUCCACCGAGGCUA
rnacentral:tRNA from 1 species